rnacentral:rRNA from 1 species
GGUAAAUCUCGUGCCAGCCACCGCGGUUAUACGAAAGACCCUAGUUGACAAACACGGCGUAAGGGUGGUUAGGGGUAAAUAAAAAUAAAGCCAAAGAUCCCCCAAGCCGUCAUACGCACCCUGGAGACACGAAGCCCUAAUACGAAAGUAGCUUUACCUGAACUUUUGCCCGACCCCACGAAAGCUAAGAAACAAACUAGGAUUAGAUACCCCACUAU